UCAGUCAGAAGAAUAAAGUGUAAAUACAAUUGACGGUUAAAUAAAUUUAAGAUUUCACUACUACAAAAUUAUCUAUUGCUGGCGGUCCAAAAUUUUUUUUCAACGAUCCAACCGUCAAACUUAUUUGUACACAUUCCAAGAUUGCAUACAUAAAAAAUCUUUAAAAAACAAACAUUAAGAGAUUACGUAACGGAACAAAAGUUUUCGACGGUUAUAAACGAAAAAUCACAAUUUAACGGUUAUUUUAGCUCCGAUCUUGAUGAUUUUUUACAAAUACACUCCUCGACCUUAUAAGACUGUAAUGAAUAAAUUUGAUCUUUAAUUU
rnacentral:lncRNA from 1 species